rnacentral:rRNA from 1 species
UAGGGAAUCUUGCGCAAUGGGCGAAAGCCUGACGCAGCCAUGCCGCGUGAAUGAUGAAGGUCUUAGGAUUGUAAAAUUCUUUCACCGGGGACGAUAAUGACGGUACCCGGAGAAGAAGCUCCGGCUAACUUCGUGCCAGCAGCCGCGGUAAUACGAAGGGGGCUAGCGUUGCUCGGAAUUACUGGGCGUAAAGGGCGCGUAGGCGGACAGUUAAGUCAGAGGUGAAAGCCCGGGGCUCAACCUUGGAACUGCCUUUGAUACUGGCUGUCUUGAGUUCGGGGGAGGUGAGUGGAAUGCCGAGUGUAGAGGUGAAAUUCGUAGAUAUUCGGCGGAACACCAGUGGCGAAGGCGACUCACUGGCCCGAUACUGACGCUGAGGCGCGAAAGCGUGGGGAGCAA